GCUAAGGAGUGAUGACACAAAAGGCCGAAUUGCAGUGUCUGUUUACAGUGUUCUCUCUAUAAAGGCACGAUGACAAAAUUCCUGAAGCGACUUUUUUGUCUGACCUUGGC
ensembl:snoRNA